GCCCCAAUGGCGUAGUGGUUAGAGUGUCCACCUCAGAUGCGAGAGAUCGUGGGUUCGAACCCCAGCUGAGUCA